rnacentral:rRNA from 1 species
UGGGGAAUCUUGCACAAUGGGGGCAACCCUGAUGCAGCGACGCCGCGUGAGCGAUGAAGCCCUUCGGGGCGUAAAGCUCUUUCGACCGGAACGAUAAUGACGGUACCGGGAGAAGAAGCUGCGGCUAACUACGUGCCAGCAGCCGCGGUAAUACGUAGGCAGCAAGCGUUGUUCGGAGUUACUGGGCGUAAACAGUGCGUAGGCGGUUUUCUAAGUUCGGUGUGAAAUCUCCCGGCCUAACUGGGAGGGUGCGCCGAAGACUGGGAAGCUGGAGUGUGGGAAAGGCAGGCGGAAUUCCUGGUGUAGCGGUGAAAUGCGUAGAUAUCAGGAGGAACACCGGCGGUGUAGACGGCUUGCUAGACCAUAACUGACGCUGAGGCACGAAAGCGUGGGUAGCAAACA